GCUGGUGUGGUGUAAUGGUCUGAGCAUUGGACUAGGACUCUGUAGACCAGAGUUCAAAUCUCAGCUCAACCA